CAGGACAAGGGCUGUGGCAUGAUGUGAAAUCAAGUUUUUUCAGCAUUUUCUUCAUGAAGUGUGAGGGCAAUUCAUUAUCUGGCGUGCCGUUGUCUUUCUCAGUUGCAAUUUCAGGAUGCAUUACAGUUUUUGGUGUAACAGGCUCUUUAGUAGUUAAUACAGAACCAAGGGUCCCAAUUGCAAGAAAUUGGUGAAAAAAAUCGGUGCUCAUGUCAACCUUUUCAUCUUCAUUUACUCCAUGUGCUGGCUGCUUGAAAUCUGCAGAAUUAGUAUUAGCAUCUAAAGAAUGCUGAAGCUCGUUGGGCUCCCAUGGUGCUGAGUAAAAAUAAUAGGAUCUCCCUGCAGAUACGAGUGUAAUAUGCAAGCUGUAGAACUGUCUCCUGAUCAAGGUUUUUGACCAUCUAGUGGAUCAUGGAGUGUAGCUUAAGGUUCGACUAUUAUUUUAACCCAAACCAUGGACAUGUAGGGCACAAAGAGGAUUUGCAUACUGUUUAUAGACUUAAUUAAAGGUGUAUCAUCAGGUAGGAGGUGAUGUGUACGAAGUAUGAAGUUCCUACAAGGCUACAAUCCAUUCCAAUUUUCCCUUUUUAUAUAGUUACUGUAAUGAUUAGUUGGAGCCACUAAUAUGCUUGUUGGCUGUUGUAAGCUGCAUGGUUUGACAAUGUGUAGGAGGUGAUGUGUACGAAGUAUGAAGCUCCUACAAGAUAUAUUCUACAUAUAUGCCAUGUCUGGGACUCCGGGGGUCUAUAGAGUGUAUAUUGGUCUUUAUGUUCAGUAUAAGAGAUAGUAUGUUUGGGCCUUUGGGUGAAUGGAGGGUUCCGCAUUAAUAAACAAUGAAGAAUCCCCAUCUCCACAACUUGUUCCUGCUCCUGCAUUCUUUUACUUGUCUUGAUAUGCAAGAAUGUUGUAUACCGCACCAAUUCUCUCUCUACAUUCAUGAUCGGGGUAUGCAUCACAUUAGUACAUCACCGUAAAAGCCUCUAGUAUAAGGUGAAGUGUAUUCGCAUCAUACUCACGCAAUGUUGGACUUGAGCCAACUAAUCCAGUUUUAAGUACAAUGUACAGAAAUUCUGAGAACGUGUGAAAUGUAGAAUAAUUUUAGGCAAUCACCUUUGAACAGUGGACUGCAGAAGUUUGGACGUAUUGUGUUUGAUUUAACAAGGAUAAAUGAGUAAAUGAGCGUAUCAAGUUCAUAAGGAAUGUGAACUGUCAACACUAGAAAGUGAUGGGACUCUUCUUAAAAGGAAAGAAGUAUAUAGGUUAGCUGAUUCAAUAAUCAGUGGUGUCGACCUUAGAUAGUCAACAUCCUCUGUUAACAGCUACGGGUAUCAGAAUUUCUGAUAUUCUAUAAAUUUUCAUUCCCUGGAUUACGUCUGUAUCAACAAGAUUUAUGUAACUGGAAAACGUUGUGCAUGCAUCAUGUGUUUGCUUAGCCGCUUAGGGCAAUGCUGCAGUCACUACAACAUUAAAACAAAGAACAUCGCGUGUACUAUCUUUCUGCAUUGCAGCAUGAAAGUUGUUACUUCUACAAAACUUGGUUAGGAACUAGUGGGUGCUGUGUCAGCCAAAUGCAAACAUGUGAUGAGAAAGCUGGAACCCAGAGAUUGUUUCAUGGCUGUAUUCAAGACACAUCAGCUAGAUUAUACUUUUCAGAUAAAGUGAUUGAUCACUUUAGUCUUAAAAGCAACAAUAUGUAGAUGGACCUCCAAGGUUUCAAUAGACAACUCAAGCAAUGUUAACGAGUGGCCUUUUCAGUGACACCGUCAUAGGAAAGAGGCAAAACUAAUUUGUAUCCAGAAGAAAAAAGGCUAUGAUAGGAGUACCGAACCAAUCAACUAAUCGCUGAGUAGAUGUGGGGUGUAGUAGGUAUUAUAUCUUUGUAGGUUACUUUAUUUUCUUAACUUUGACUGGAAAACAUCAGUGUAUCCGCUGCCGGUGAAGAGACUUGACAUAUCUUCUACUUGUUAAGGUAUUGCCUACUAAGAUGUUAUACCUACUACAAAUGAGAUAUCUACGAUAUGGUUACGUGUUCGGCUUUCAUUUAUAUGUCAUCUUCAAACAUGCACCACGGAUGGUCCUUACACGUUUUGUUAUAGUAUGCCAACUUGUUUGUUUGUUA